rnacentral:rRNA from 1 species
AGGAUGAACGCUGGCGGCGUGCCUAAUACAUGCAAGUCGAGCGAACAGACGAGGAGCUUGCUCCUCUGACGUUAGCGGCGGACGGGUGAGUAACACGUGGAUAACCUACCUAUAAGACUGGGAUAACUUCGGGAAACCGGAGCUAAUACCGGAUAAUAUAUUGAACCGCAUGGUUCAAUAGUGAAAGACGGUUUUGCUGUCACUUAUAGAUGGAUCCGCGCCGCAUUAGCUAGUUGGUAAGGUAACGGCUUACCAAGGCAACGAUGCGUAGCCGACCUGAGAGGGUGAUCGGCCACACUGGAACUGAGACACGGUCCAGACUCCUACGGGAGGCAGCAGUAGGGAAUCUUCCGCAAUGGGCGAAAGCCUGACGGAGCAACGCCGCGUGAGUGAUGAAGGUCUUCGGAUCGUAAAACUCUGUUAUUAGGGAAGAACAAAUGUGUAAGUAACUAUGCACGUCUUGACGGUACCUAAUCAGAAAGCCACGGCUAACUACGUGCCAGCAGCCGCGGUAAUACGUAGGUGGCAAGCGUUAUCCGGAAUUAUUGGGCGUAAAGCGCGCGUAGGCGGUUUUUUAAGUCUGAUGUGAAAGCCCACGGCUCAACCGUGGAGGGUCAUUGGAAACUGGAAAACUUGAGUGCAGAAGAGGAAAGUGGAAUUCCAUGUGUAGCGGUGAAAUGCGCAGAGAUAUGGAGGAACACCAGUGGCGAAGGCGACUUUCUGGUCUGUAACUGACGCUGAUGUGCGAAAGCGUGGGGAUCAAACAGGAUUAGAUACCCUGGUAGUCCACGCCGUAAACGAUGAGUGCUAAGUGUUAGGGGGKUUCCGCCCCUUAGUGCUGCAGCUAACGCAUUAAGCACUCCGCCUGGGGAGUACGACCGCAAGGUUGAAACUCAAAGGAAUUGACGGGGACCCGCACAAGCGGUGGAGCAUGUGGUUUAAUUCGAAGCAACGCGAAGAACCUUACCAAAUCUUGACAUCCUCUGACCCCUCUAGAGAUAGAGUUUUCCCCUUCGGGGGACAGAGUGACAGGUGGUGCAUGGUUGUCGUCAGCUCGUGUCGUGAGAUGUUGGGUUAAGUCCCGCAACGAGCGCAACCCUUAAGCUUAGUUGCCAUCAUUAAGUUGGGCACUCUAAGUUGACUGCCGGUGACAAACCGGAGGAAGGUGGGGAUGACGUCAAAUCAUCAUGCCCCUUAUGAUUUGGGCUACACACGUGCUACAAUGGACAAUACAAAGGGCAGCGAAACCGCGAGGUCAAGCAAAUCCCAUAAAGUUGUUCUCAGUUCGGAUUGUAGUCU